rnacentral:pre_miRNA from 1 species
UUCACUUUGGGACCGUGAACUCUGCUUGCUCAGUCGGUUGUUCGAUGUUUACUGUCAUCACAACCUCCUUGAGUAAGUCGAGCCACCGUACCCUUUGGCAUCUUUU